AUUCAGGUUAAGUUCCUACUUUAGGGCAGAUCUUUGAGUCCAAGGAAAUUGACAGAGAGAACGGUAAGUGCAAAUGUCCUGGAUGGGCUUGUGCUGAGGAAGAGCAAGGCCGGGUACCUGGAACAGAGUGAGUGAAGGGGAAAGAGUUGUAACCAAUGAGCUUAUAUGCAGGAGACCAGGGCGUAUCUCAGUCCUUAUCUCAACAGCAUAAGACAGACAUUCCCAGAGCAGCCAUUUAUAGACCUCCCCCCAGGAAUGCAUUCCUUUCCCAGAGUAUUAAUAAUAAUAUUCCUUGCUAGGAAA
rnacentral:lncRNA from 10 species